AACGAACGCUGGCGGCAUGCCUAACGCAUGCAAGUCGAACGAGACCUUCGGGUCUAGUGGCGCACGGGUGCGUAACGCGUGGGAAUCUGCCCUUGGGUUCGGAACAACAGUUGGAAACGACUGCUAAUACCGGAUGAUGACUUCGGUCCAAAGAUUUAUCGCCCAGGGAUGAGCCCGCGUAGGAUUAGCUUGUUGGUGAGGUAAAAGCUCACCAAGGCGACGAUCCUUAGCUGGUCUGAGAGGAUGAUCAGCCACACUGGGACUGCGACACGGCCCAGGCUCCUACGGGAGGCAGCAGUGGGGAAUAUUGGACAAUGGGCGAAAGCCUGAUCCAGCAAUGCCGCGUGAGUGAUGAAGGCCUUAGGGUUGUAAAGCUCUUUUACCCGGGAUGAUAAUGACAGUACCGGGAGAAUAAGCCCCGGCUAACUCCGUGCCAGCCGCCGCAGUAACAC
rnacentral:rRNA from 1 species